AAAGUAUAUCGACUCCAUGCCCUAAAGAAGGGCUUCACUUCCAAGUUCACGUGUGGAAGCAUACGUUUCGUCAUGUUCAGUAAUUUAGGGAUGGACCACAGCAACCCUCGAGGGACAAAUGCAGCGGAGUGAUGCCAGGGGGCACGUUCGAGGAUAUCACGGCCGUGCAGCAGAUGGUAUCAUCAUGCACGGGCGCAAUCCUCACUUCUCUUCUUGUGACACCAUUUGAUGUAGUUAAAAUUCGCUUACAAUCUCAGAAAGUCCCAUUAGUGAAGGGCAAAUGUUUCUUGUACUGCAAUGGGCUGAUGGACCACCUGUGUACCUGUCUGAAUGGUCCCUCAAACAAUGGAUACUGGUACAAAAGACAGGUUCCUGGGCACUACAAAGGCACAGUGGAUGCCAUGAUACAGAUUACUAGAAUUGAGGGGAUGCGGUCUCUGUGGAGCGGGCUUCCUCCUACACUGUGAGUAGACUGACCCUUGUACACAAUGUACCUGCCACAUUGAUGUACUGUCUUAUGUUUAAUCAAAGUAGCAUAUUGUACCACAUGACAGUAGCAAAGUAUUGGAAGUAAGACACUAUAAUUAAGAAUUAUUGAUUUUACAAAUGAUCGAGUACUGUAAAAUUUACAGAGUUCCAAAGUAUAGAUAUUUUUUGAAGAAUUUGGAUAUUAAGGUUAAUACAGUUACAUGCUGAAUCUUUGGUGUUGUAUGUAUACUUUAAUAUUAAUGCAUUGUACAAUGACAUGAAAUUGUAUUAUUUAUUGUAGAGUAAUGGCCGUCCCAGCCACUGUGGUGUAUUUUUCCUGUUAUGAACAUUUCCGGAACUUGUUCGGAUACUCUGCAGGCCUAGAAGAAAAUGACUGGUGGAAGCCAAUAAUGGCUGGAGCAAGUGCUCGAACUUUAGCAGUAUUUGCUAUCAGUCCCCUAGAAAUGGUUAGAACCAAGCUCCAGUCUGAGCAGCUGAAGUACAGUCAGGUUUUGACUGCGGUCCAGCACACGGUGAGGGAGGGGGGCGUGGUCCGGUCCCUGUACAGAGGCCUUACCCCCACCCUCCUCAGGGAUGUCCCUUUCUCAGCAUUCUACUGGUUUGGAUAUGAAAGCAUGAAGUCAGUCAUUUUGAAGAACACCAUGUCAGAUAAGAUGACAAUGGUGGAGAGUUUUAGCUGUGGAGCUUUGUCAGGAGGGAUUGCUGCUAUAUUAACUUUACCUUUUGAUGUAAUCAAAACCCAUCGACAAAUCUCUCUAGGAGAAACUCGAGUCAAAGGUUCCACACAAGUGACCUCAACAUUACGUCUCAUUAUACAGCUAUACCACAGAGAGGGAAUGCAUGCCUUGUUUGCAGGUCUGGUUCCUAGAGUGGUAAAAGUGGCUCCUGCCUGUGCCAUUAUGAUUUCUUCCUAUGAAUAUUUCAAAAACUAUUUCAAAGCCAGAAAUAGAGAACAGAGACUUGGACUUUCAGAGGCUUCUAUGGAUUGAAACAAAAUACGGUGUGAUUUUGUGCAAGUGGAAGCUUGGGUCUUCUGGUCAAUUUCCACGUGAUGCUGUGCUACCUUAUGAUUUGGUUACAAUUCAUCCAACAACCUUUUGUCAUGCAAGGGUUUUUUCUACAGUGUGAAUGUUUCAUCUGAUUUUAGAUUUAUUUUCUAUCACCGCAAUGCUUACAUUUGUAAUAUCAUAAUAAGUGAUUGAGUUUUUAUAUAUUAAUUCAUGAGAGUUUUUUCUUCAUAAUAGACUUCAUCUCUGAUGUUGUAAUAUUUAAAAAUCAAUAUCAUAAUCAAUGUUUUGAAUUUGUCAUAAGAUAAUAGAGUUGGCGCCUAUCGUUAGAUUUGUUUUAUUUUAGAUGUCAGUUCUAACAAUGUGGUAAAGUGUUUUUGAUUUUUACUUCUGUGUGACAAAAGUAUGAAAUUCAAGCUCAUGUAUGUAACAUGUUUACAAUGUCCAUUUUCUGUGAUAUAACGUGUGUUUUAUCUGUAUGUGUGUUUGUAUAUAAUGAUGAUGACCUAAUUCUUUGAUAAGGUAUUAUAAAUAUAUGUAAUAUUUCUAGCAUGGUUUCAUGUUGGAUGUGUUAUGAUUGCCUACAACCUGCACCAUCUUAUUCAUAUUGUUAUAGAAUAAAUCAGUUUACAUGAUUCAUGUUCAUGAUGAACUUACUAGUUCUUUCAAUUAUGAGUGACAGUGAUAAAAUGUACAGAAAAUCAUCCAUUUUAAUUGUGUUCACUUGCCCAUACAUACACAUGUAUACAUUAUAUCUGGAAGGUGCUUGUACCACAUGUUGACCUCAUGUUCUGAAACUAUUAAUUUGACUGUGGUUGUGUUACUGCACCACAAAAGAUGAAAGUAAACACAUUAAAACUUGUAUUGUUCAUAUUGUCCUCAAUUAAUUUUCAACACCCAUAGUCUGAUUAUGAAGUCAAAGUAUCAGUUUUGGUUUUUCAGCUGAGUAUUUAUUUAUAUACUGUAUAUAUUUUUAAUGUUUUAGAAUGAAUUUGAUUGUAAUAUUGUUUACCAUGUUCUGUUAUUAUUUUCAACUUUGAAAUAUCAAGCCUUAAUUUGUUGCCAAAGCACAUAAUAUUAUUCAAUUAAGGCUUGAUAGAAAUUAAAUUGCACAUGUGUAUGAUGGUUAAAGAAAUGUAUGCCUUGAAAAAUAAAAGCAUAAAACAAUUUUU
rnacentral:misc_RNA from 1 species